rnacentral:rRNA from 1 species
CCCUUAGAUGUUCUGGGCCGCACGCGCGCUACACUGAUGCAUUCAACGAGUCUACAACCUGGUCUGAUAGGGCUGGGUAAUCUUUUGAAUGUGCAUCGUGAUUGGGAUAGAUGAUUGCAAUUCUUCAUCUUCAACGAGGAAUGCCUAGUAAACGCAAGUCAUCAGCUUGCAUUGAUUACGUCCCUGCCCUUUGUACACACCGCCCGUCGCUCCUACCGAUUGAACGUUCCGAUGAAUACCAUGGAUUGAGGAUGCAAGUAGGUUCGCCUAUCUUCAUCUUCGAGAAGUGAAGUAAAUCUUAUCAUUUAGAGGAAGGAGAAGUCGUAACA